ACAGCGCAACGCGACAGACCCUUCCGGUUACGGAAUUGCAAAGGGCAGGCGGCGGAACGGGGCACACGCUGCUCCGGGAGCGCUGCGGGCUCGGGGGAUGACGCUGGGGCAAACCGAGCCAUCGCCGUGCGCCGGACAGAGGAGCGCAGCUCCUCGCCGAACCAGACGGCGCCGAACCACCCGGACCUCCCCCCACCCGACAGGCACCCAGCGCAGCCCCGGCCAGCUGCCGGCAGCCCCUCGCGCACCCAAGCCGGGACGCGGAGCUUUCCCGCCCCUCUGCAGAUCAACCAAUAGCGACUUCCCCCGUGGGGGCGGGCUCGGAAAGCAGCGCGCUUAUUGCCUGUCGGAAACGUCAAUCCCGCCACACGCCGUUGCCGUGACAACCGCACGCCGCUCAGGUAAGCGGCCUUCCAUGCGGGCGCCGGGCGGGCGUGUUGGACGGCGGAGCUCAUUCUUCCUCGCCUUCGCUGCAAACAAAAACCUCUGCGGAUUUCUACCGAAUAACGAAAUCUGCACCCGGCUCACGUAGGCUCAGAUCCUUCAAUAAGGUCCAUUCACGUGCAGAGCGGAUGGGGCAGCUGCCAAGGCUUCAGCCCAGGCUCACGGAAUGAAGCUGCACUCAAAAGUGGUGGCAGGUGGAAGACUGCUGUCCAGCUCAUGCUUUGAAGUUCUCAUUGGGUGCCAGCCUCCCACAGGGAGCACAUAGAGAGAUUCUGAAAACAUGCCCAAAAAUCUCAGAUCUGGCAAGACCACCUUGAAAAGUCCAAAAACCUCAGCAAAGAAACAGAGAGGUGAAAAAGCCAAGCGAGCCUCAAAAGGAAAACAAAAACAACCUGGUGCGUAAAGUAUUGCAGAUAUGAAGAAUGUAAUAACCUGGUCUACCCACACACCUGUCAGCUCUGCUACCAUACAACAUCAGUGAGCUUUGUCCAUUUCUCACCUCUGCACAUAACAUGAUUUGCAUGUUAAUUGUCCUAAGCAGGUGUGAGCAGGUAAUGGUAAGGGGAAGUUUUCGGUGCACGGAAUCUUGCAGCGUACACAAGAUGACAGAUUCCUUACGGCUUCUCUCCAAUGCAGAGC
rnacentral:lncRNA from 1 species